AUUGAACGCUGGCGGCAGGCCUAACACAUGCAAGUCGAGCGGAGCGGCGGACGGGUGAGUAAUGCCUAGGAAUCUGCCUGGUAGUGGGGGAUAACGUCCGGAAACGGGCGCUAAUACCGCAUACUAUCAGCGAGGCUUGGGUCGGAUUAGCUAGUUGGUGGGGUAAAGCCAUACCAAGGCGAGGGUCCGUAACUGGUCUGAGGGGAUGAUCAGUCACACUGGAACUGAGACACGGUCCAGACUCCUACGGGAGGCAGCAGUGGGGAAUAUUGGACAAUGGGCGAAAGCCUGAUCCAGCCAUGCCGCGUGUGUGAAGAAGGUCUUCGGAUUGUAAAGCACUUUAAGUUGGGAGGCGUUACCAACAGAAUAAGCACCGGCUAACUUCGUGCCAGCCGCCGCGGUAAUAC
rnacentral:rRNA from 1 species